rnacentral:lncRNA from 1 species
UGCUACAAAUACGUCCACGCAACCCCUCUCCUAGCCUUGACACCCCCGCAGUGCAGUGCCGCCGCAGCAGAGCAGCAAGCUACGAGGGAUGGCAUCGAUCAUGGCCGCCGCCACCUCCCGCGUCCUCGCCGCCAAGACGCUGUUCCUCGGCCAGGGCCGCGCCGCCGCCAAUGCCAGCCCCCUCCGCGACGUCGCCGCAGCCGCCAGCGGCCGGAUCACCAUGGUACGUACCCCUUUGGUGCCAAAACCACCCGCCUACAGCAUCAGUCCAGCUUGCUUAGGUGCUGACGAACAAGUCCUUGUUGUUUGCAGAGCAACGACCUGUGGUACGGCCCGGACCGCGUCAAGUACCUGGGCCCCUUCUCCGCGCAGACUCCCUCCUACCUCACCGGCGAGUUCCCCGGCGACUACGGCUGGGACACGGCGGGGCUCUCCGCCGACCCGGAGGCGUUCGCCCGCAACAGGGCGCUGGAGGUGAUCCACGGGCGGUGGGCGAUGCUGGGCGCGCUGGGCUGCAUCACGCCCGAGGUGCUCGAGAAGUGGGUGCGCGUGGACUUCAAGGAGCCCGUGUGGUUCAAGGCCGGCGCGCAGAUCUUCUCCGAGGGCGGGCUGGACUACCUGGGCAACCCCAACCUGGUGCACGCGCAGAGCAUCCUCGCCGUGCUGGGCUUCCAGGUCAUCCUCAUGGGCCUCGUCGAGGGCUUCCGCAUCAACGGCCUCGACGGCGUCGGCGAGGGCAACAACCUCUACCCGGGCGGCCAGUACUUCGACCCGCUCGGCCUCGCCGACGACCCCGUCACCUUCGCCGAGCUCAAGGUCAAGGAGAUCAAGAACGGACGCCUCGCCAUGUUCUCCAUGUUCGGAUUCUUCGUGCAGGCCAUCGUCACCGGCAAGGGGCCCCUCGAGAACCUGCUCGACCACCUCGACGACCCCGUCGCAAACAACGCCUGGGUCUACGCCACCAAGUUCGCGCCCGGGUCUUAAGAAGCUAGACGGCUGCUUCGUGCCUGCCACCAUUGUAGACUACUCGUUACUUUUGUACCACCAAUUAAUGCAAAUACCUUGUUCUCAGGAUUCAGGAAUGUGCAUUAUGCUCUCUGUCAGUUGUGGCUUGUGUGCUCCUGAAACAGAUGAUGUGCUGAACUGCUGAUUUACGAUCUAUACAUGUAGCUGCCUCUUUGCAUUUCAGUUCAUGUUUUGAGGUUUUGAC